rnacentral:rRNA from 1 species
UACGGGGGGGGCAAGCGUUGUUCGGAAUUACUGGGCGUAAAGGGCUCGUAGGUGGCCAACUAAGUCAGACGUGAAAUCCCUCGGCUUAACCGGGGAACUGCGUCUGAUACUGGAUGGCUUGAGUUUGGGAGAGGGAUGCGGAAUUCCAGGUGUAGCGGUGAAAUGCGUAGAUAUCUGGAGGAACACCGAUGGCGAAGGCAGGUCUCUGGGCAUUAGCUGACGCUGAGGUGCGAAAGCGUGGGGAGCAAACAGG